ACAUUUCUUUAAGUAAAAGAUUUAAAGUAGGUUCUGCCCUAUGAUAAAUUAAUUUAAAUGGCUGCAGUAUAUUGACUGUGCAAAGGUAGCAUAAUAAUUAGCUUCUUAAUUAGGGGCUGGUAUGAAUGAAUUUAUGAGAAAUUUAUUUUAUUAUUAUUAUUAUUAUAAUUUAAUUUUUGAGUAAAAAAGCUUAAAUUUUUAUUUGGGACGAAAAGACCCUAUAGAACUUUUAAUUUUAAUAGUUAUUUUAUUUUUAGUUUAUUAUUUUUUAAUAGCUAUUUAUUUUUUUUUACUGGGGUGGUGAAUAAAUAUUAAAACUUUAUUUUUUAUUUUCAUUUAUAUAUGUAUAAUUUUGAUCCUUUUUGAUUAUAAGAUUAAGUUACCUUAGGGAUAACAGCGUAAUUUUAAUGGUAAGUUCAUAUUUAUAUUAAAGUUUGCGACCUCGAUGUUGAAUUAAGAUAAAAUUAAGGGGCAGGUUCUUUAAGUUUAGGUCUGUUCGACCUUUAAAUUCUUACGUGAUCUG
rnacentral:rRNA from 1 species